rnacentral:rRNA from 1 species
UACGUAGGGACCAAGCGUUGUUCGGAUUUACUGGGCGUAAAGGGCGCGUAGGCGGCGUGUUAAGUCAGCUGUGAAAAUCUCCAAGCUUAACUUGGAACGGUCAGCUGAUACUGAUGUGCUAGAGUGCAGAAAGGGCAAUCGGAAUUCUUGGUGUAGCGGUGAAAUGCGUAGAUAUCAAGAGGAACACCUGAGGCGAAGGCGGGUUGCUAGGCUGACACUGACGCUGAUGCGCGAAAGCUAGGGGAGCGAACAGG